CUUCAUUUCUACAGGUCUCCUCAGUUAACAUACACUACCUUCUAGCAAAUGACACUGUUGACGACAUCAUCUGGGAUGUCGUUCAGAGCAAGCUGGAGAAUCUAGGACAGAUGCUUGAUGGACAAGAGAAUGCUCUGGAGGUUUCAUCUAGUCAUGUGAUGAACAGUCCACUAAACCGAGAAACAGCCCCUCGAAGCAGCAAACUCUCUAGACCCGUUCUUGAAGCGCUGCAAGAGAUCAUUAUAUGAUGACACUGAAGAACAUCCGACGCCUAAAGUUCCCAGAAACUGAAAGUAAAAAAUGUUCAAGAUCCCAUCAGCAUUUUUUGUUGCUUGCAGAAACGCAUGACUGUGUGGGUAAAAUGACCAUUUGUAAUAUUUUUUGGGCAACCAAAUAGCCGUUAGUAGUUUUAGGCUUCCAUACAAUUUGGAUCCUCAGAGUUCAUGACCUUGCAAAAUAACUUUUUGUCAAAGUUGAUCUCUACAGGUCUUUAUCACAACAGAUUUUAUUUGAAUGAGACAUAAUCAAGACGUUCUUGACCAAAGA